rnacentral:misc_RNA from 1 species
GGAUUCUUGCUUUCUCUGGGACGUAAGUGAUCAUUUUCUGCUCUUUAAUGUGUUUAUAUUGUGAAGUGGGUUAUAUUGCAACUUUUGUAAAAAAAAAUUAAAAUUGAUAUAGUCACUGUGCUUGUUGCACUAGGUCACUCUUUUUUUAUAGUCACUGUGCUAAGAAGUGAGCUGUGAAUUGCUUUCAAUCGGCUUUUUAUAUGUUGGGUAACGGAAUGCUAUUGAAUUUUAUAAGAUUUAACAUCAAGCAUGAAAUUUUGUGGAAUCGUCUGAACUUUUGGGCAAUUAUUGGAUUUCCUAAAUAAUCUUUAGUUGUUAUUUUAUUUUAUUUUCUUUUUAUUACUUUGGUAGCCUGAUUAUAGUUUUGGAUGUGCUGAGUUAAAAUGAGGGAUCUCUAAGUGAGCCUUUGGUUUUUAUGGGACAACUGCAGGCACCCUUAUACUUGAUCUUAUUUGGAAAGGCUAUGCCAGAAUAUGUCAGCGUAGUAGCAAAUAUUUGUAAAUUAAUAACUCACUUUCAAAUUGGUUUGGAGAUUAUGACAGUUGUGAUUACAGCAUUUCUCAUGUUUGAAUGUAAUGAGAUAGUAAUAACUAAUCUUGCUAUUAAGUUUAGAAAGUGAGAUACUAUUGAAUAUCAUGUAGGAUCUUAAGAUGUUUCUCCUGGAUAUGGUGAAACUAUCACCUAAUUCAAUCUUCUUUGCUUAAUUGUGGUCCAAGGUGUGGCAUUCUUGCACAGGCAUAGCCUUGUAUGCAGUUCAUUAGCCUCACAUAAAGCAUGAUGCAAAUAAUUAUAGCACAUGGUCUGACUCUCAAAUAAGUGAAUGUUUUACUUUGGUAGGGAUCUCAUACCUUCAAGAAUUUUUGUUUCAAACUAUUAUUUUACUGCACCUUGACCAAUGGCAAGAGAACCAUACAUGUUUCUCUGAAUUGUGUACAUUAUUUUAUUUUUUAAAAAUGUGUUGGGACAAUAGGUUGGGGUAAUUUUUGUAGCCUGUCCUUAAAUUUUGCCCCUUGUUUUACUCUUGCCUUUUAACUUCAAUUUGUUACUAAAAA